rnacentral:lncRNA from 1 species
UCUAAAUUUAAAAUAACAACAAAGACGGCUGUGAUUUCUGCUAUAUGAAAAUACGUCCUUCUUAUUGGUCAACUCACAUGUCACCUCGACUUCCGGAAAAUGGCGAUCAAAGCUAAACACUUAAAUCACGGGAGAUCCGCAUAUCUUUGUCGCUGGCAUUUAAAAUUUUCUGAUUUUUUUUUAUUAAAAAGUGAGUUUUGUGUACACUACUUUUUCGGAAAUUCUUGUUUGUGCUUUGCUCAGCCUCUCCAAAAAACACGGUUUAAUACUACACAUCAGCACACUGUCGUCCAGCGGACGAACCGGCAGGGAUAUUAUUAAUUAACUUGAGGGCAGUUAAUGAAGUUUCCUAAUUAAAUUUUGCCAAUGCAGCGCGACGCGGCCCUCUUCCGAAGAGGAGACCUGGAUCAUCUCCUGAAUUUAAUUUUCGGCCUUACGAUGACCUAUGUAGCAUGCAUAGGUACCCAAGGGAUCCACCAUCUUCUGGUUUACAAGGAUAGGUGCUCUAAUACUAGAGGCUUUAGCCAGAUACGACCUGGCACCCAAGCUACGCAAGUCUUCUUCGUGUACAUAUUGCGUGGGACCUCGGGGACGGGAUACGGACACAUUUGAAGAUGAAGAGAAGAUGUACUUCGGUAGAUUAUCGAUCUUAUGAAGCAAUCUAGAGACUGUAUUUUGCUUGUAAAAAAUGAAAUACUGCAAUAUGGUCUGAAAACCCUGGUUUAUCCUCUCAUACCUCAAAUUGUACCAGCUGUAAAAAUUGAUUGUCCUAGCUGAUGAAACAUCUUGAAGUGACCACUUUGUGUUUUAAAUGAAAUGCUACAAUAACAUAUUGACAUUCUUGGCUAACAUCCGAUAUGUUGAUGGAACAGCAGCAGUAGGUUGUCUUGACUUUUUCGCAAAUCUCAAAAUUGAAAGAACUACCAGCAUUCUUCUUAGAGUAUUUAUUUUGCUGCUUCUAGCUGUUGCUUCCCUCCUGCUCCUCCUCAUCGUCAACAGGAUUCAGCAAAAAUUCCUCCUGCUAGUUGUAAACUUUUAUAACAUAUAAUUUACUAAUGUAGGUAAUUUAAAUUUUUAAGUAUGUUUCUAAUAAUAAUAAAUUUUAAAUAGUAUUAUUAAAAAUUGAUAACUAAA